rnacentral:rRNA from 1 species
AGAGUUUGAUUAUGGCUCAGGAUGAACGCUGGCGGCGUGCUUAACACAUGCAAGUCGAACGGAGCCAAAGGGAAGCUUGCUUCUUUGAAGCUUAGUGGCGGACGGGUGAGUAACGCGUGAGCAACCUGCCCUUCAGUGGGGAAUAACACAGAGAAAUCUGUGCUAAUACCGCAUAACGUCUCUUUGCCGCAUGACAGAGAGACCAAAGGAUUUAUUCGCUGAAGGAUGGGCUCGCGUCCGAUUAGGCAGUUGGUGAGGUAACGGCUCACCAAACCUACGAUCGGUAGCCGAACUGAGAGGUUGAUCGGCCACAUUGGGACUGAGACACGGCCCAGACUCCUACGGGAGGCAGCAGUGGGGAAUAUUGGGCAAUGGGGCCGAAAGCCUGACCCAGCAACGCCGCGUGAAGGAAGACGGUCUUCGGAUUGUAAACUUCUUUGAUUGGGGAAGAACAAAAUGACCUACCCAAAGAACAAGUCACGGCUAACUACGUGCCAGCCGCCGC